GAUGAAGAACGCAGCGAAAUGCGAUACGUAAUGUGAAUUGCAGAAUUCAGUGAAUCAUCGAGUCUUUGAACGCACAUUGCGCCCCCUGGUAUUCCGGGGGGCAUGCCUGUCCGAGCGUCAUUGCUGCCCUCAAGCACGGCUUGUGUCUUGGGCCUCCGUCCUCCUCCCGGGGGACGGGCCCGAAAGGCAGCGGCGGCACCGCGUCCGGUCCUCGAGCGUAUGGGGCUUCGUCACCCGCUCUUGUAGGCCCGGCCGGCGCUUGCCGACACAUCAAUCUUUUUUCCAGGUUGACCUCGGAUCAGGUAGGGAUACCCACUGAACUUAAGCAUAUCAAUAAGCGGAGGA
rnacentral:misc_RNA from 1 species